UAAUUAGAGAGAUUUCUUAUUUUCGUUCAUUUUGUUUGAAAAACAUAUAUAAAAAAAAAAUAUUGAUCUUGAUGUUGUUUUCUAGGAUAUGGAGAAGAACUUGGGGCAUCAGAUUCGAUUGCAGUUGGUACUGCUGAUCAUAACAGGAAGUAUUACCUCCAGAGGCAUCUUUUAAGUAUGCAAGAAGCUAUCUGGUAAGUCUUAUAUAUUUCUGUUUUAUAUGGUAGACUAGCAAUUGUAUUGGAGAGUUAAUAAUAACAUUUGUGUACUAUAUGCAGCAUCGACAAGGUGAAUGUUACAGGAUACUUUGUAUGGUCAUUGUUGGAUAACUUCGAGUGGCAAGACGGUUAUAAGAACAGAUUUGGAUUAUAUUACAUUGAUUUCAAAAAUAACCUCACACGUUAUGAGAAAGAAUCGGGCAAAUUCUACAAAGAUUUCCUCAGUGUAGGGACUCGUCCAUCCAUGAUCAAGAGGGACGAGCUUUAAGCUAUUUUUUGAGAAUUUGGUCGUGUCGAUGUGUCUUUCCUAUGUUUGUAUUUUAUAAUUUACCAAGAUUCUAGAGGUCUUGGGUUGAAUAAAAGAGUGUCUUCUUCAUUUAUGUCUAUAUGAUUUGCAAGAUAUACUAGAAAACUCUGGUUGUGAAAAACCGGAUUUACCUCUAAACAUAGAAAUGGAUUAGGAAAUAUGAUAUAUUUAAAACAAUAUCUAAAUAUCUAGACGUAAACGAUAAGGCUGAUGCAUGAGAAACCAAAAUAAUAUAUUCUCCGAAAAAACCCAAAGUCGGGUAAGAUCAAUUAUAUUUACAGUAAAACCUUUAUAAUAAUUAAUCUCGGAAUUUUGGAAAUAUUUUAAUCUAUAGAAAAUAUUAUUAAUAUUGCAAUAUAUGAAGCUUUUGACACAGCGACUUAUUAAGUCACAUUUUAAUAUAAGCUCGUGGCACACGCGGAAUAUUAUAUGUUUCGAAUUUCGAGUAAAAAUGAUAACAACGCAUUGAUAAUUAGACCAUGCAAUUAAUCCUAUAUCCAAUUUUUUUUUUCUUUCCGACAAACACAUAUUAUAUCCAACUAUGGACUAAUAUUUUUAGUGGAAAAAGAAGAAGAAGAUAGCAACAGGAUACCGUAAAUAUCCAAAUAUAUAUUAAGAUGUGGUCGAAAACACGAUAUAAUUAAGUCUAUAAAGUGGGUCGAUUAAAAAAACACGAUAUGGGUCUUUAAAGUGGAAAUUAAAAAUAUGAUCCACGAGGCCUGGUGGUGGUUGGCAUAGUAAAACAAAAUAAAAAAAUAAUUAAAAUCUAAAGUUCAAUCAGUGAAUCAAAAUCGCUAUAUAAAGAACUCCACUUGAAUGUAUAAAAUACCAAACACACUCUUGAAGAAAACAAAAAACAACUCAAACCAAAAUGGCUUUGCAUAAGUUUCCUCUCAUGGGGCUGCUUUUGCUCCUAACCAUCUCCGUCUCUCCGGCAAUAGCUGAUGGACCUGUUUGCCCGCCGUCUACGAAACUAAGCCGGGCAAGUUACCCUGAAGGUUUUUUGUUUGGCACGGCUACGGCAGCGUAUCAGGUAUAAACAUUUCUUGACAUUUAUUUUUAGAUUUUUAUAUAUGUUCAUAAGUUAUUUCAGAUAGUAAGGUUCAUAUAGACGGCAUAGUAAAAUCCAUAUUCAUCAUUAUCAAUAUCACGUUUCACAGUAUAUAAAAUAGUAAAAACUAUAGAAUAAAGUCAUAAAGAUGACAUUCUAAACGGAAUAAGAGUGUUUUGGUCUUUUGCUAGUUAUCUAGUAAUUUUGUUUUUGUUUUUUUUUUUUUUUUAUCAUGGUGCUUACUUAAUAUCCCUUUAAAAAUAAUUUAAAUGGCGAAUUUACCUAUAGAUUUUUUUGAACAAUUAAUUUAGCUACAUUUUAUAUAUAUCAUAAGGUUGAAGGUGCAGUGAAUGAAACUUGCCGUGGACCAGCCUUAUGGGAUAUCUACUGUAAGAGAUUUCCAGGUGAGUGUCUCUACGUUUCUUAUCUCGUAAUUGUGUUUAGGAUUAUUCAUUCUUCCACUAAUAAUAUCGAAACUCAACUGAUUAUUUUCAUUAAAUUUGAAUUACAGCAAGAUGCAACAACGAUAACGGCGAUGUAGCUGUUGAUUUCUUCCAUCGUUAUAAGGUAUACAAUUUAGUUCAGGUUAAAGAAAUCAAUUAUGGCAACGUAUAUCAAGUAAUUAAUUAAUUAAUUAAUUAAUUAAUAUUUCCUGUUAUUCUAUUUUAUAGUCCAUUGAUUCAUAUUAGAUGCUAAUAAUUUGUGUCGUCGUAAAAAAUGUUUAUAGGAAGAUAUCCAACUAAUGAAGAAUCUAAACACAGACGCCUUCAGAAUGUCUAUCGCAUGGCCAAGAAUAUUUCCUCGUGAGUAUAUGUGCUAAGAAUCUAUACACAUUUAUCUGUCUACUCAAUCAGUAACUUGAUUUAAUUUUACUCGAGAUUGGUAUUUUCAAAAUGUAUAUCAUUGUUGAGAUAUUAAUGAAGCAAAACAAUAUUAUAUCAGAUGGGAGAAUGGAGAAAGGAAUCAGUUGGGCUGGUGUGCAAUUUUACCACGACCUCAUUGACGAACUCCUUAAAAAUGGUUAUAUAUUUUAAUGUGUAUAUAUAUAUAUAGUGACAAUUGCUGAUUAUAGACGUUAAUAAAAUUUUCUAAAACUUUUUAUUACUGUUUUUAAAAGGUAUAAUUCCGUUCGUGACUGUUUAUCACUGGGAUACUCCACAAGAUUUAGAAGAUGAAUAUGGUGGCUUUUUAAGCGAAAGGAUUGUGUAAGUUUUUUUUGAUAAAACAACUCAUAUUUUAAUGUAUAUAAAACCACUAUAAAACAGGAAAAAUUAAUUGAAUAACUUUUUGGAAAAAUGCAGGAAAGAUUUCCGAGAAUAUGCAAAUUUUGUUUUUCAAGAAUAUGGUGGAAAAGUAAAACAUUGGAUCACUUUUAACGAGCCAUGGGUUUUCUCGCACGCUGGUUAUGACGUAGGCAAGAAAGCACCAGGACGUUGCUCUAAGUACGUCAAAGAUGAAUGUCAUGAGGGACGAUCAGGAUUCGAGGCUUACCUCGUCACUCACAAUCUCCUUAACUCUCACGCAGAAGCCGUUGAAGCUUUCCGACAAUGUGAAAAGGUAUAUCAUAUUCAUAGUUUCAUACAUAAUAAUAAUUUAUCGGCUUUCGGAUCUGAAACACUCUUUGCUUUGUGUUAUGUUUAUGGCCGCAGUGUAAAGGUGGGAAAAUCGGAAUUGCACAUAGUCCGGCUUGGUUCGAACCACAUGACCUUGCUGAUUCACAAGACGGUGCGUCCAUUAACCGUGCACUUGACUUUAUUUUGGGAUGGUAAGUAGUUAAUAUCCUAAUAUCAUCAAAUUAAUUCUAAAUAUCUUUUAACAUAAUAUAUAAUAAUUGCUUUUUUCUUUUCUUUUGUAGGCAUCUAGACACAACUACGUAUGGAGAUUAUCCACAGAUCAUGAAAGACAUUGUUGGACACAGAUUGCCUAAAUUUACUACUCAGCAGAAGGAAAAAUUGAAAAACUCUGCCGAUUUCGUUGGGCUCAACUAUUAUACUUCAAUGUUUUCAAACCAUUUGGAGAAGCCAGAUCAUUCUAAACCAAGAUGGAUGCAAGAUUCUCUUAUUAACUGGGAAAGUAAGUUUUUUUGGUAGCCCCUUACUUGAAAACAAACCAAGAAAUCGAUGCCAACAAUUAAUAUAAAAGGGAAACUGUUUAUUUGUAUUCGGUACUAAUAUAUCAAAAUCUAUCUUCUUUUCAGCUAAGAGUGCGCUAAAUUUCUCAAUUGGUAGCAAGGUACGCUUUUAAUUAAACUUAUAGCAAUCUGAUAUUAUACUUCUUUUUAGAUAAAUUACACUUUUGUCUAUGACGUAACAUUUUCACGUCUGUCGUAUUUCAGCCUUUGACCGCUGCAUUGAACGUUUACUCCAGAGGCUUUAGAAGUCUUCUGAAAUACAUCAAAGACAAGUACGGAAACCCGGAAAUUAUGAUCAUGGAGAACGGUAACUAGAAAUUUUCUAAUGUUUGCUAGCUACUUUAUCCUUUUUUGACUUUAUUCUAUAAUAAAUAUUUAUUGUAUUGAUCUUAAUGUUGUUUUUUAGGAUACGGAGAAGAACUUGGGGCAUCAGAUUCAAUUGCAGUUGGUACAGCUGAUCAUAACAGGAAAUAUUAUCUUCAGAGACAUCUUUUGAGUAUGCAUGAGGCUAUUUGGUAAGUCAUCUUUUUUAUAUGAUAGACUAAUUAACAACUGUUUGACCCAAAAAAAAAAAAAAAAAAAAGACUAAUUAACAACUGUAUUGGAGAAUUUAAAAAAAAAACUGUGUACAUGCAGCAUCGACAAGGUGAAUGUUACAGGAUACUUCGUAUGGUCAUUGUUGGAUAACUUCGAGUGGCAAGAUGGUUAUAAGAACAGAUUUGGACUAUACUACAUUGAUUUCAAAAAUAACCUCACACGUCAUGAGAAAGAAUCGGGCAAGUAUUACAAACAAUUCCUA
rnacentral:lncRNA from 1 species